rnacentral:rRNA from 1 species
AAGAGUAACGGAGGAGUACGAAGGUGCACUCGGUUCGGUCGGAAAUCGUGCCAAGAGUAUACAGGCAAAAGUGCGCUUGACUGCGAGAGUGACGGCUCGAGCAGGUACUAAAGUAGGUCUUAGUGAUCCGGUGGUCCCGAAUGGAAGGGUCAUCGCUCAACGGAUAAAAGUUACUCCGGGGAUAACAGGCUAAUUCCUCCCAAGAGUUCAUAUCGACGGAGGAGUAUGGCACCUCGAUGUCGGCUCAUCACAUCCGGGGGCUGA